rnacentral:rRNA from 1 species
UGGGGAAUAUUGGACAAUGGGCGCAAGCCUGAUCCAGCCAUGCCGCGUGAGUGAUGAAGGCCCUAGGGUUGUAAAGCUCUUUCACCGGUGAAGAUAAUGACGGUAACCGGCGAAGAAGCCCCGGCUAACUUCGUGCCAGCAGCCGCGGUAAUACGAAGGGGGCUAGCGUUGUUCGGAUUUACUGGGCGUAAAGCGCACGUAGGCGGACUUUUAAGUCAGGGGUGAAAUCCCGGGGCUCAACCCCGGAACUGCCUUUGAUACUGGAAGUCUUGAGUAUGGUAGAGGUGAGUGGAAUUCCGAGUGUAGAGGUGAAAUUCGUAGAUAUUCGGAGGAACACCAGUGGCGAAGGCGGCUCACUGGACCAUUACUGACGCUGAGGUGCGAAAGCGUGGGGAGCAAACAGG